CCUGGAUCUCCAGAUUCUCGGACUGUAAGAAACAGCUGACCUACUUUGAGGACUACUGUCAAAAUGAUUGUGCUGGUGAAACGAUUUACAAGGUGCCCAAGGAGCCUUUGAGGUUCUGAUGGACUGGGGCAAAGCCCAUCUAGAUCAGAGCUCUGGAAAGAUCGACAGCUCUGGGAGGAAAUCGCCCUAAGCGAGGAAGGAGUGUGAAUGUGCGACCUAGUCAGCACCAGGGCCAAGACUGUUGGCAAGUGAAUCCCUUUUGGGUAUAGUCUCUGGCUGAUGCUAGAAACUCUGUUCCAGGAUGUGGUCCACAUUGGGAUUGUUAAGCCCCAUAUCCUCUUUUUUCUCCACCCAUCAUUUCCUAUUGAGGCUACUUUUUGUGUGUUGAUGGUCCUCUGAUACGGGUCCUGGACUUCUUGUCCUAAAUCCACUUGCCCUUUGAUUGUAAGUGGGCAAGGAUGGGGAGUGGUGGUGAAUGUGUGUGUGUGUGUGUGUGUGUGUGUGUGUGUGUGUAUUUGUAGGAGAGAGAGAGAUUUGUGUUCUAUACUUUCCUAAUGACUUAUGUUUCACCUUCUUCAUUUUGCUUUUAGGAUACUAUGUGUUUGUAGGAAGCCCAUAACUACUCAAGGACCCUCUCCAUCAACUCCCCUAUGGAAAUAUGACUAGCAGGGAAAAAAAAAGGACUUCAAAAGUAGAAGUACCACCUACAAAUACAGUAUCCUUAAGGUAAAAUGAAGACUGUGAAACAUAAUAGCCAUUAGGGAAGAAUAGAACACAAAUCACUCUCUCUCUCUUUUUCUCUUUCUCUCUCUCUCUCUCCCUCUCUCUCUCUCACACACACACACUCACACAUAUUUACAGCCCCCCACCCCUUACAAUCAAAUGGCAAGUGCAUUUAGGACAAGAACUUCAGGACCCUUAUCAGAAGACCCGAGAUAGAAUGGA
rnacentral:lncRNA from 1 species